UACGAAGGGAGCAAGCGUUGUUCGGAAUUACUGGGCGUAAAGAGCGCGUAGGCGGUUUGAUAAGUUGGGCGUGAAAUCCCCGGGCUUAACCCGGGAACUGCGUUCAAAACUAUCUGACUCGAGUGUGGAAGAGGUUGGUGGAAUUCCCAGUGUAGAGGUGAAAUUCGUAGAUAUUGGGAAGAACACCCGUGGCGAAGGCGGCCAACUGGUCCAUAACUGACGCUGAGGCGCGAAAGCGUGGGGAGCAAACAGGAUUAGAAACCCCCGUAGUCC
rnacentral:rRNA from 1 species